CUUUUUCUGGUAGCUUACCACAUAUCUUAUGGCUUACUAGAAAUGCUGUCAGGCUCAUAUCAGCUCACUUGUACCAGAUUUUACUUAUUUUGUUCAUCUUUUCUAUGUUUUCCUCCCAUCUUUGACUUUCCUACAAAAUCUUAAGAAAUAACAUCAAAAACACCAAAAAUUACUUAAGAACUUACAAUUAUUUCAAGUUAAAAAGUCUAAAAUGUGCUACAAAAAUCUAGCACAUCAACA
rnacentral:lncRNA from 1 species